GAUUCUUGUAUGCAUAGGUUGACACUUACCUUUAGCAUUCUUCUAAAGCUCAGACCAUUUUCGUUGAGAGUCCCCUGUUAUUAAAAUCUGAACCACUUAAAAGGGAUCAUCUUUGUCUCAUAACCUGUCAUUAGCCAAAUGAGUUCACUAGCGAUGCAUAUCUUGAUUCAUGUUUUUGAACUUAAUGAAUGUUAAAGGGAUCGGUUGAUCUUGACGCAUUGUGCAAUUGAGUGUAGGUUUGGAUCAUAACAGAGCAUGGCUAAAUUUUUUAAGUAGAAGUCGAUCACCUCGCAUCUUAGAACUGUUAGUUGGUACAUUGAUCUUAUUGGUAUAUCUCAUGCUUUGGUUCUGAAUCCCCAACUUCAAACCUCUCCUUCCGCUUAUGUCUUCUUGUUUGCUUGAGGGCAAGCAAAGACUAAGUUUGGGGGAGUUGAUAUGUCUAUAAUUUGCAUGAUUUAGGCAUUCAUUCUGCACCUCUUUGUCAUUGUUUCAUCCACAUUUCAUCUCAUUAGGAGUCGUUUUAGUGUGUUUUGCAUACUUAGGACGAUUUUGCAUUAGGAUUGCAUGUGCAUUGCAUAUUUGGUUGUUUUGAGGUACAUUGGAUGCUUUU
rnacentral:sRNA from 1 species